rnacentral:rRNA from 1 species
UACAGAGGUGGCAAGCGUUGUUCGGAAUUACUGGGCGUAAAGGGCGCGUAGGCGGCUCGACAAGUCCCGCGUGAAAGCCCCCGGCUCAACUGGGGAACUGCGCGGGAAACUGUCGGACUUGAGUUCGGGAGAGGGAAGCGGAAUUCCGGGUGUAGCGGUGAAAUGCGUAGAUAUCCGGAGGAACACCGGUGGCGAAGGCGGCUUCCUGGACCGACACUGACGCUGAGGCGCGAAAGCUAGGGUAGCAAACGGG